GAUACACAAACAUGUACUGUCAUUGUUGGAAGUUUUGGACAUAAUGAUACAGAAGUACUGUACAGCUGGCACCCUUCUCACCCCCUUACCCUGGAGAGUAUACAGCUAGCACAAACUGUGCUGGUCAACUGGGACAAGGGGACUCAGUUUAUGAGCAUGCGCACAGGAAACAGAUCUGUUGUGUUUAUUAAUCUUAGAUUUCAAAGAACAGUAGGUUACUACUUUCUCAGG